UAAAAACCCCGACUUCGGAAGGGGUGUAUUUAUUAGGUACAAAACCAAUGCCCUUCGGGGCUCUUUGGUGAUUCAUGAUAACUAUACGAAUCGCACGGCCUUGCGCCGGCGAUGGUUCAUUCAAAUUUCUUCCCUAUCAACUUUCGAUGUUUGGGUAUUGGCCAAACAUGGUUGCAACGGGUAACGGAGGGCUAGGGCUCGACCCCGGAGAAGGAGCCUGAGAAACGGCUACUACAUCCAAGGAAGGCAGCAGGCGCGCAAAUUACCCAAUCCCGACUCGGGGAGGUAGUGACAAUAAAUACUGAUACAGGGCCCUUUCGGGCCUUGUAAUUGGAAUGAGUACAAUUUAAAUCCCUUAACGAGGAACAAUUGGAGGGCAAGUCUGGUGCCAGCAGCCGCGGUAAUUCCAGCUCCAAUAGCGUAUAUUAAAGUUGUUGUGGUUAAGAAGCUCGUAGUUGAACCUUGGGCCUGGCUGGCCGGUCCGCCUCACCGCGUGCACUGGUCCGGCCGGGCCUUUCCCUCUGUGGAACCCCAUACCCUUCACUGGGCGUGGCGGGGAAACAGGACAUUUACUUU
rnacentral:rRNA from 1 species